CACCUCACUAAUUCGUGCAUCCUGGAGCUGCCAUGUGUCUCUCUCCUAAAUACGCUGCGUUUCAUUAAUUGUUGCAUGAUAUGACUGGGCUUAAUUUGGUUUGUGGGCUUCAUUUGUUGCUUAAUCAACUUAGCCGAUCGCGAGAAACCUAAGCCUCUCAAUCCGGGUCGCAUCAAAUUUUAGGGGUUCACUGUAUUCUUUCUUCUUCGUUAUCUAAACCGCCAUUGGAGUACCCAGGAGAUUUCUGCGAAAUGAAUCUUUAUGGCGACUCUCUGGAUCGAGCAGAUUUUGUGACGUUUAGUAUGAGUUUCUUCUUCUCUAACCCGUUACGAACUUCAAAAGGGUUAAUGGUCCGUAAUAAACAUUGCUUCAUUCGUUUAUUUUGUUUGAGGUGGCCUCCUUCACUAACCAUCAAUCUAUAGUUGUAAACCCUAUCUUUUCGCCAACUACCUACGGCCUUCGUCUACCUCUAACUUCUCGGUGUUGCUACCGAUUCCGAUUCUCUUAUGCGUCAACUACUUCCCACCUCUAAAGAGUCAUAAAGUUUAUCUAUUUACUGCAACAAUCCAACGACAUGAAUUUAUUUCAAUGACAUCACCUCCACCCUAUAUAUAUCAUUCAUUGUUGCUUCUCACCUUACCGAAUCACGCUAAGCAAAUUAUCAGAGGAAACGAUGGAAACCAGAUCGGCAAAAUCUCCCGGAAAUGUACUUAAACCUCUGUUCUUCAGUGAUGUUAUGCUGGUUUGGGACCGUCUGAGCUACGCUUUUGAUUGAAAUAUGUUCUGGGAAGCAAGGAAAACAACAAAAGGUUGUGUUGUCCAGCGUUUCAUUUCUUCAAACCGUGUAGCCCGUUACGAAGAUCACUUAAAGCGUGGAAAGACCUACAGUCGUUGCUUCAGGGUGUAUCAAGAAAGUUGUCUGGUGAUAUUUAUAUGAUCGACGGUGAAGAGUUUUGGCUUGGAUGAUUUCUGCCCAGGUUUGACUCGGAACGAGUUUGAUCUCUAUAUGAAGGAAUAAGACAAAUUUUAUAUCAAUUUGAGUGGUGCUAAUUAUCUAUAAUAUUAAAAUAUAUUGGUGGGCUUGAAUCAGCUGUUGAGAUAACGCACUGAGACGAACUAGACACGAGGCUACGAAGGAGAAGGAGAUGGCGGUUAAAAGGUGGGGUGGUGUGAGUUGUUCUACCGAGUCAUGAGUCAUCCCGAUUGGAAUUUGAGUUCAAGACUGAAAUCUGUAAAUGUAAAUAAGGAGAAGAACAUUUUGUCUGAUGAAAAGAAAGAUAAUGUGAGCUGACUUUUUGACUCAAGAAAAAAUGAAAUUCAUGGAAUAAUAUAACUCAUAAUAUAUAUAUAUAUAUAUAUAUUUUUUCUAUAAAUAGUUAAAAAAUAAUAAGCAGAAAAAUAGUGAUAUCUGCUAUGAUUUUUUAACGUAUAACAAAGUCAACGAAAAAAACAAGGUCAAUGAAAACUAUGAUACGCUUUGUUAAAUAUAUAAUUAAUUAAUCAAAUAUAAGAAAACUAAUGUUAAAUAUAUAUAUUAACAAUCCCUACUAUUUAAAAUCUUUAAUGGGUUAUUCGGAUAACAUGAUUAUUUAGUAUUAAAUGUUAUAACAUCUAAUUAUAUAAAAGAGAGUUUACUCUCUCCUGGGCGUGCCACGUCAGCAUCCAGCUAGGAAAUUCGUUGCACGAGAGGACGACACGUGUCCGACCAAUGAAACACAUCGUUUCAUUUAAUCCAAUUCGGGAUGGGCUUUCAUUGUUUAUUGCGUGUUGGGCUGUUAAUUUGGAUCCUGUAGCCGGCCCUGGUAAAUGACGACCGUCUCUCUUCUUCGUGCGACGGAAAGACGAUGUCUGAACUUCCUUACGCUAUCUAAAACGGUCCGACUAAUCGAAUCGAAAUCUCAUCUUCUUCUUUUGUUUUCUCUUCUCUUCCCUCUACAGUUUCAGAAAAUUUCUCUUUCGCCUCCCUUCGUCGCCUUAAGAGGUUUUUAGUUGGGUUCAGAACAUCAGAUAUUUUGGUUCUAGAUGGAUGAUUAGGCCCUCUUGGAGCGAGCAGUACGUGUACGAACGCCGCGCCACUGAGAAGCUUGCGGACGAUGAAGAAGCCGAGACACUCUUUGUGGCGUUAGCUGAGUUUGAAGAGCGAUGCAAGGAGCCGGAACGUGCUAGUAUGGUGAUAAGGAAGGGAUUGAGGACGCCAUUGCUGGGAAUAGGAGGUUUCAGUAUGAAGAUGAAGUGAGGAAGAACCCUUUGAACUAUGAUUCUUGGUUUGAUUACGCUAUGCUUGAAGAAACUGUGGGGAACAAAUAUAGGAUAAGAGAGAUCUAUGAGAUGGCUAUUGCUAAUAUUCCAUCUCCUGAAGAGAAACGAUACUGGCAAACACACAUCUAUCUCUGGAUUAACUAUGCAUUGUAUAAAGAGAUUAAGACGGAAGAUGUGGAGCGUACACGAGAUGUAUACAGGUACGCCAAAGCCUACCUAUUCUGAAACUUGUGAAGUUACUUUCAUUUGUGUUUCACCCUAGCAGUUUAGUCUGGCUGUCUGUAUUCAUCUUACCAAACAUUACAUAGAAUGUCUUAAGCUUAUCCCACACUCCAAAUUUUCCUUUGCCAAAAUAUGGUUGCUUGCUGCUCAGUUUGAAAUCUGGCUAUUGAAUCUCGCCAGUGCUCGGCAUAUAUGAGGAAACAAACGCUAUUGGGAAAGCUCCAAAAGAUAAAAUAUUCAAGAACUACAUUGAGAUUGAGCUCCAGCUGGGAAACAUAGAUAGAUGUAGAAAGCUUUAUGAGCUUUAUCUUGAGUGGUCUCCAGAGAAUUGCUAUGCUUGGAGCAAAUACGCUGAGCUAGAGAGGUCUCUUGAUGAGACUGAACUAGCUAGAACUACCUUUGAGCUUGCAAUAUCUCAGCCAGCACUUGACAUGCCUUAACUGCUAUGGAUGGCGUACAUAGAUUUUGAGAUAUCAGAAGGAGAAUCAGAGAGGACACGAGCUUUAUAUGAUCGACUAUUGGACCGCACAAAGCAUUACAUGGUGUGGCGGUGUGGGUUAGUUUUGCAAAGUGUGAAGCUUCUGCUGCGGAACAAGAAGAAGACGAGGAAGAGGAAGACCAAGAAGAAAUAGAUGCUAUUGAACUCAACAAAGAGUGCAUCAGACGUACCUGAGAAAAAUGUAUCAAUGGAUCAGCUGCAAUCACAAAAUGAACAGGAGAGGAGCUUGAUAUUUUUUUGUAAACGAUGGAUAAUCGGGGAUGGUCUCUGAAGUGGUAUAUGGCUACACAAUGUCUUUAUAAUUAAUCCAACUCUCAGACCAGAUUUUAUUUUAUCAAUUUCAAAAUUUUUAUCAUGUC